GGGGAUACCAUUGCUAUUAAUUUAGAUAUCAGCAAAGUCCUGCUCAAUAAAUCGAACGUUUCACAAAAAUUUCCCUAUAACUUCAAAAACUUGCAUAUAAUUUACUGUAUAAAAUAACCACAAUUAAGUGCUGCGAGUAACAAAGUCUAACAAAAUUGACAAGUAACAAAGCACCUGCGAUCAGUUUUAUAUAGUGUGCAUGGUAUGAACUUGAAUGUAAAACCUGCAAUCUAAAAGCUCUAAUUAAACUGCUGUUCUUGUUUUCUUAAAGGCUCAUUUACACAAAAUGACUAGUUAUAUACGAAUGUCG